CCUACGGGGGGCAGCAGUGGGGAAUAUUGCACAAUGGGCGCAAGCCUGAUGCAGCCAUGCCGCGUGUAUGAAGAAGGCCUUCGGGUUGUAAAGUACUUUCAGUAGGGAGGAAGGUAGUGUAGUUAACACCUGCACUAUUUGACGUUACCUACAGAAGAAGCACCGGCUAACUCCGUGCCAGCAGCCGCGGUAAUACGGAGGGUGCAAGCGUUAAUCGGAAUUACUGGGCGUAAAGUGCACGCAGGCGGUUUGUUAAGUCAGAUGUGAAAUCCCCGGGCUCAACCUGGGAACUGCAUCUGAUACUGGCAAGCUUGAGUCUCGUAGAGGGGGGUAGAAUUCCAGGUGUAGCGGUGAAAUGCGUAGAGAUCUGGAGGAAUACCGGUGGCGAAGGCGGCCCCCUGGACGAAGACUGACGCUCAGGUGCGAAAGCGUGGGGAGCAAACAGGAUUAGAUACCCCGGUAGUC
rnacentral:rRNA from 1 species